rnacentral:tRNA from 1 species
GGUCCUGGAGUGUUAACACGUGAGAUUGCAAAUCUCGAAAAGCAGGGUAAAACCUGCCGGGACUU